rnacentral:tRNA from 1 species
GGCCCCGUAGCUCAACUGGAUAGAGCAUCGGCCUUCUAAGCCGACGGUUUCCCGUUCAAGUCGGGACGGGGUCG